GAUGAACGCUGGCGGCGUGCCUAAUACAUGCAAGUCGAGCGAACAGACGAGGAGCUUGCUCCUCUGACGUUAGCGGCGGACGGGUGAGUAACACGUGGAUAACCUACCUAUAAGACUGGGAUAACUUCGGGAAACCGGAGCUAAUACCGGAUAAUAUAUUGAACCGCAUGGUUCAAUAGUGAAAGACGGUUUUGCUGUCACUUAUAGAUGGAUCCGCGCCGCAUUAGCUAGUUGGUAAGGUAACAGCUUACCAAGGCAACGAUGCGUAGCCGACCUGAGAGGGUGAUCGGCCACACUGGAACGGAGACACGGUCCAGACGCCUACGGGAGGCAGCAGUAGGGAAUCUUCCGCAAUGGGCGAAAGCAUGACGGAGCAACGCCGCGUGAGUGAUGAAGGUCUUCGGAGCGUAAAACUCUGUUAUUAGGGAAGAACAAAUGUGUAAGUAACUGUGCACGUCUUGACGGUACCUAAUCAGAAAGCCACGGCUAACUACGUG
rnacentral:rRNA from 1 species